GCAUUAAUGGGGUAGUGGUAACCUGGGUCGUUGCCAUUGAUAUUAAUGUCGACCCGCCGGGGGUUCGAUUCCCCCUUAAUGCA
rnacentral:tRNA from 1 species